rnacentral:lncRNA from 1 species
GAUUAUCCAGUUCCAUUAUAUUUGCCGCAAGCAAUGCAUGGUAUACUCAGAGAUGGUAAUACAAGUGUAUGGUGCAUUUAUUCAUCUUCAUUCUUCCCCAUCAAUCACACAUCUAGAGCAACCUAUAAGAUGGACUUGGUCCAUCAUGGUCUGGAUAAAUAAGGUUCGAUACUUAUUAUUAUUAUUAUUCAACUUCCUACUUCAGUU